rnacentral:rRNA from 1 species
CGCGUAGGCGGCGCGGUCAGUCAGGCGUGAAAGCCCGGGGCUCAACCUCGGAAAUGCGCUUGAUACUGUCGCGCUUGAGGACGGGAGAGGACAGUGGAAUUCCCAGUGUAGAGGUGAAAUUCGUAGAUAUUGGGAAGAACACCGACGGCGAAGGCAGCUGUCUGGACCGUUUCUGACGCUGAGGCGCGAAAGCGUGGGGAGCAAACA